rnacentral:rRNA from 1 species
UACAGAGGUCCCAAGCGUUGUCCGGAAUCAUUGGGCGUAAAGCGCGUGUAGGCGGCUCGGUAAGUCUGCUGUGAAAGUCCAGGGCUCAACCCUGGGAUGCCGGUGGAUACUGUCGAGCUCGAGUCCGGAAGAGGCGAGUGGAAUUCCUGGUGUAGCGGUGAAAUGCGCAGAUAUCAGGAGGAACACCAAUGGCGAAGGCAGCUCGCUGGGACGUGACUGACGCUGAGACGCGAAAGCGUGGGGAGCAAACAGG